GUGUCAGCCGCCGCGGUAAGACAGAGGGUGCAAACGUUGUUCGGAAUUACUGGGCGUAAAGCGCGUGUAGGCGGCAGCGUGUGUCGGGCGUGAAAUCCCAUGGCUCAACCAUGGAAGUGCACCCGAAACUGCGCAGCUAGAGUCCUGGAGAGGAAGGCGGAAUACUUGGUGUAGAGGUGAAAUCCGUAGAUAUCAAGUGGAACACCGGUGGCGAAGGCGGCCUUCUGGACAGUGACUGACGCUGAGACGCGAAAGCGUGGGGAGCAAACAGGAUUAGAUACCCCGGUAGUCC
rnacentral:rRNA from 1 species